CUUAUGGUGUUCAAUUAUAUCAUUACAAUAUUUAAUGAAUUCGUAAAAUCCUUAUGAAAUGCUUUCAUUAUUGAUUUCAAUCUUAUAGGCCAACAUCGACUGCUCAUUGGAAGAACCAAUCCAGUGUGCAAUCGCUGGCAGGCCGCUGGCGUUUUGCUGCUGGCGGAGCACCGAACGAAAAUUGGACAUCAGGCCAAAAAUUGUUGAACGCCGAGUCACCUACAUAGCUAUGCUAGCCAAGGAUGCAUAUCUACACCACAACAGCAUGUGGAUUGCACCCCUGGAGGAUGGAGCAAGCACAGUACUCCAAGGCACCAGAUAGGUACUCCACGCCACCAUGUAAAGGAUGGCUACAUAGAACAUUUGGAGAAGAUCAAGUGGCUGACUGAAGAGAAGGUCGAGCUGAGGGCACAGCUGGCACUACAAUCAGGAGCCAUAAGGAAGAAUCUUUCCAACCGGGAUGCCACUGAUGAGGCUGUCCAGAACAUGGUCCCCAGGUACCAGAAAGGGGCAGCUGAGUGUGCAGAUGGGAGACCUGCCGUGAAUAUGAUGAAUGACAUCUCCAGCACAACCAAUAUUGCUGCUAAGCUGCAGUACUGUAUUAUUAUUAUUUUUUAACUGCUGCUAUGUACAGUGUUAUAUAUAUGAUUGCAUUAUCCUCUUAAUAUAUUUAUAGCUCUGUGUAAUUGUUUUUAACUCUGACUGUAGUUGUAGUGUUAUGCCACCAUUCAUAAGCUUAUUGCACUGAUGUAUCUAUGAUAUUCAAUAACUAUUGAUUGCUGCUAGGUCAUACUUAUG
ensembl:lncRNA